UGGGGAAUUUUGGACAAUGGGGGAAACCCUGAUCCAGCCAUCCCGCGUGUGCGAUGAAGGCCUUCGGGUUGUAAAGCACUUUUGGCAGGAAAGAAACGUCAUGGGUUAAUACCCCGUGAAACUGACGGUACCUGCAGAAUAAGCACCGGCUAACUACGUGCCAACAGCCGCGGUAAUACGUAGGGUGCAAGCGUUAAUCGGAAUUACUGGGCGUAAAGCGUGCGCAGGCGGUUCGGAAAGAAAGAUGUGAAAUCCCAGAGCUCAACUUUGGAACUGCAUUUUUAACUACCGGGCUAGAGUGUGUCAGAGGGAGGUGGAAUUCCGCGUGUAGCAGUGAAAUGCGUAGAUAUGCGGAGGAACUCCGAUGGCGAAGGCAGCCUCCUGGGAUAACACUGACGCUCAUGCACGAAAGCGUGGGGAGCAAACAGG
rnacentral:rRNA from 1 species